CCUAAAAAGCACCUAAGAAUAGCUCCCUAUGAUCCACAUAUCUCCGUCAAGUCUCAAGGUUAAAAUCAUAUCACACAUUCCUGAAUUCGUUAAACAGUUAUCUCCGCUAGAACCUAUUUUACCCUUUGACUGUUGAUGGGUUUGCUUGGUUUUUUGUGAAAAUCUUACACAUUUGACCGAUUUGACAGCUAUCAAUCAAGACGUAUAUGUGACCGGUGGAUGGCUAGAUUAUCUGACCUCAGUGGUCAGAUUAUUUCACCGAGCGGUCACAUUAUUUUACCGGCCGGUAAAAUCAUGUGACCGUCCGGUGAAAUGAUCUGACCGCCCUGGUGGUCAGAUAAUCUAGCCAUCCACCGGUCACAUGUACUCUUGACUGAUAGCUGUAAAAUCGUUCAAAUGUGUAACACUUUCAUAAAAAAUCAAGCAAACUCAUCAACAUCAAGGGUAUUUAAAGAAUAGGACAUAAGAAGCUUAUGUUUAUAAACGAUGAUAUUUUUCAUAUAUAUCUUAAGGAAUAGGGCAUUUUAAAUUUUCACUCUAUCAUUUAUCGACAUUAAGAAUUAUUUAUACAUCACAUACAAUAAUUGCAUAGCGUAUUAUAUCAAUGUCUAAUUUGGAAUGGUUGUAAUAAAUUUUGAGAAAUAUUUUAAGAGACGAUAUAUACUUUUACGCUUAACAAUAUAGAUCUGGACACAUAUUCAUAUGCGUUCAGAUCUAAUCUAAUGAUAUGAUGGUCGAUUAAUUUGAACGCAUAUUCAUAUGAAAAGGGUGGUACCUUGCCACUAUUGCACAACGUUGGUAUAUAGUUAAAUAACUAAUAUUAUAAUAAUAUCAUUAAUUGUUGCUCUAUUCAGGAAAAGAAUACAUUGAUAUAUAUCUUGGAUCUAGCUAGACAUGGAAUCCCUUAUACCGUGUGCAAUCUAUUUGAAUAAUCCCAAGUUUUAUUAGUAUAUACAUAUAAAAUAGUGUUAGUACAUAUGUUUUCUCAGGUGUAAAAUGACAGUUUUUGAUGUGCUAGUAUUUUAGUUUGGCUUCACAGUUAUGAACAGCCAACUGCUUCCAACUAAUCUACUGAUUUAUAAACUUUGAUUGGGGCUAUCAUGGAAUCACGUAAUCUUUUUUCCUUGUUUAUACCGAACUAUAACUUAUAGGUAUAAUAUUAGAAAAGAUUCUCUAGCUGAAUACAUAAUCUAUUCCAUUUUAUUUUUAAUUUUGUCGGACUAAUAAGUAAUAAUGCACAUGUUGAUCAUGUAAUUAAUUGCACACAAUAUCGGGUUAACUUUGUUAAAAUCGAAUUACUCCGCACAAAAAUUAUGUAUAAAUUAAUUUGUAAAAUAUUUACAAAUGGAAUUAGUUAUCGUAUAUCUAUACUAUAUUAAAAAGACCAAGAUUUCAAUUGAAAUCAAUUUCAAUUUAAUUUUAAAAUUAAGUGGCGGUUUUAUAAUUGUUAUAAAAUCGAAGAUUUAUUUGUAAAUUUUAUAUUUUUUCUUUCUUUAUCUUCUCAUUUUUAUUUAUUUUAUUUCUUUGUAAAAUUAGAAUAUUCGAUUAAUUAUAAAAUAUUUGAUAUGCAUUUACAACUAUCCACAUUUCUCAAACUAUCUGGCAUAUGUACCAGAUUUUCCAAAAUCUUACAUUUUAUAUCUAUUUGUAUUUUUUAAACAAUAUUCUUGAAAGUGCAGCGUGUGCAGUGUGUGUAUGCAGAGAAGUAUAAGUUGCUUUUGACUAAAUUUAUUCCUCCUCAACCAUCUUUCUUAAAGCUAUCAAUUGGAACAUAAUUAUUGUACUCCCUCCGUCCCAGUAUUCAUGGCCUAGUUCUUUUGGGCACGGGUAUUUAGGAGAGUUAGAUUAAGGAGAAAAAGUAGAAGCCAACAUGUUUAAUGUAAUUUUUAAUGAUUAUUAAAUCCGGAUUAAUGAAGUCAAAUAAUGUUCUUCAAUACAACUGUCGCAUAAAUAAAGGCAUCUCCGGUCGCCGUCCGGCCGGUCGGCGGCAGAGAAAUGAAGGAUUCCUCCGGCUGCAAGCACACGCACAAAACCACAACCAACAAUCAGAAAUGAAAUUGAACUAGUAAACACAUUUCGAAAUGAAACAAAACAGAUCAUAAAAAUCAUAUCAUCAAAAAACCACAUCAGUAAACCAGGUAGAUUCUAGAAAUUCGGCGAUCCAGACGUUUCGGCUUUCCCAAAAUCCAGAAAUUCGACAAAAAUUCUCCAAAAAAAUCGCCGAUCCAGAAAUUUCGACCUUCCUCUCGAUCUCCGCGCCUAUGGCUUUAGCUACCGCUGCGAAUCCGCCCUUUGUCGUCGAGGAACGGUGGAGGAGAGGAGAAGGCGGCGAGAAGGAACUGGAGACAGUCUUUGCUGCCGCUGUCGCUGCUACAUAUCCGGCGAGCAGUCGUCGCCCCCCUUCGCCUAAUCUGGUGGUGGAAGCGGGGUUUGGGGGUGGAGGCGCGGUUGAGGGUGGAGACAGGAAGGCGGAGGCGGCGUGAAGGAUGGAGGUGGUAGGUCGGCGAAAAUGGAGGAGGCGACGCAGAGGAGAAAGUGAUUUACGGGGAGAGGAGAAAGUGCAGAGAAGAAAGUGAUUUACGGAGAGAGGAGAGAGGUGUGGAUGAAAACCAAAAAAUUAGGGGAAAAAGUAAUUAGGGUUUCUUACUUUAAUUAAAAAAUAUAAUUAAAUGUUAAUUUUAGUCUAAAAAAGGAAACAGGCCAUGAAUAUUGGGACAGCCCAAAAAGGAAAACAGGCCAUGAAUAAUGGGACGGAGGGAG
rnacentral:lncRNA from 1 species